CACCUUCACUCGCGCAGCGUGGGCGGAGUCUCGUACCUGUGCUCGUGAGUGCUGUCCGCCAGGUUUGGGCAGUUUGGAUGCAAACAAAACAACGGAUUAUUUACCAAGAGAUAUGCAUGUAUGGACUCAUUUCGAUUAAACACUUCUGAGUGUUUACGCUGCAGAAAACUGACGAGCAACACUACAGUCCUUCAACAAACAGAUGAGGAAGAGGAGGAGGAUGGCGGUCCAGCAUACAAAGAGAAAGUAACCAAGAGAAGUGUCAGCGCUGAAGGAAUGACAGACGUUACUCAGACACCUGUGAACACAGCAGUGUUUGGAGUCCAAGACAGUGAUCUUUAUUAUAUAUUUAUAUAUUUAUUAUACUCCUGACUGGACUAGCAAGGCGUAUUAGAGACAAUGAGAAAGUGCAGCAAUAAAAGCUCCCAAACGAAGAUGUCACCGGAUUAAGAUGUGGAAAGACAUGUUACACCACCGCAACCAUAAAUCCUGAGUGAUUUGAAUAUGGGCAACAACCGAGGAAAAGUACUCACUGUUUCACUCAAAAAUGAUCCAUGG
ensembl:lncRNA